rnacentral:rRNA from 1 species
AACGAACGCUGGCGGCAUGCCUAACACAUGCAAGUCGAACGAGACCUUCGGGUCUAGUGGCGCGCGGGUGCGUAACGCGUGGGAACCUGCCCUUAGGUUCGGAAUAACUCCCCGAAAGGGGUGCUAAUACCGGAUAAUGUCUUCGGACCAAAGAUUUAUCGCCUUUGGAUGGGCCCGCGUUGGAUUAGCUAGUUGGUAGGGUAAAAGCCUACCAAGGCGACGAUCCAUAGCUGGUCUGAGAGGAUGAUCAGCCACACUGGGACUGAGACACGGCCCAGACUCCUACGGGAAGCAGCAGUGGGGAAUAUUGGACAAUGGGCGAAAGCCUGAUCCAGCAAUGCCGCGUGAGUGAUGAAGGCCUUAGGGUUGUAAAGCUCUUUUACCCGGGAUGAUAAUGACAGUACCGGGAGAAUAAGCUCCGGCUAACUCCGUG